GUGAAGAACGUAGCGAAAUGCGAUAAGUAAUGUGAAUUGCAGAAUUCAGUGAAUCAUCGAAUCUUUGAACGCACCUUGCGCCCUUUGGCCAUUCCGAAGGGCAUGCCUGUUUGAGUAUCAUGAACACCUCAACUCUUCAUGGUUUUCCGUGAUGAGCUUGGACUUUGGGGGUCUUGCUGGCCUAUGGUCAGCUCCUCUAAAAUAAAUCAGCUUGCCAGUGUUUGGUGGGUAUCACAGGUGUGAUAACUAUCUACGCUUGUGGUUUUCCACCAGGUAACCUUCAGCAGUGGAGGUUCGCUGGAGCUCACAGAUGUGUCUCUCCUCAGUGAGGACAGCUCUUUGAAUGUUUGAUCUCAAAUCAGGUAGGACUACCCGCUGAACUUAAGCAUAUCAAUAAGCGGAGGA
rnacentral:misc_RNA from 1 species